rnacentral:RNase_P_RNA from 2 species
GUCGCAGACUAUCUUAUCGCUGUCUCAUUGAGAUGGAGGAAAGUCCGGACACCAUAGCGCGGCAUAGCGGGUAACACCCGUCAUCUACUUCGGUAGAUAGGACCAGUGCAACAGAAAGAAUGUACAGGUAAGGCUGUAGUGAAAUCAGGUAAACUCUAUGUGGUGCAACGCCAAGUAAACCAGCGCUUGAGGAUCGCGCGUCCAAUGUUGGAGGGUAGGCGGUUAAAGCUUUUUGGUAACAAAAAGUUCAGAUAAAUGAUAAGACUCGACAGAAUCCGGCUUACAGGUCUGCUUUUUUU